GUGGGGAAUUUUGGACAAUGGGCGCAAGCCUGAUCCAGCAAUGCCGCGUGCAGGAAGAAGGCCUUCGGGUUGUAAACUGCUUUUGUACGGAACGAAAAGGCUCUGGUUAAUACCUGGGGCUCAUGACGGUACCGUGAGAAUAAGCACCGGCUAACUACGUGCCAGCAGCCGCGGUAAUACGUAGGGUGCGAGCGUUAAUCGGAAUUACUGGGCGUAAAGCGUGCGCAGGCGGUUUUGUAAGACAGGCGUGAAAUCCCCGGGCUCAACCUGGGAAUGGCGCUUGUGACUGCAAAGCUGGAGUGCGGCAGAGGGGGAUGGAAUUCCGCGUGUAGCAGUGAAAUGCGUAGAUAUGCGGAGGAACACCGAUGGCGAAGGCAAUCCCCUGGGCCUGCACUGACGCUCAUGCACGAAAGCGUGGGGAGCAAACAGGAUUAGAAACCCGAGUAGUCC
rnacentral:rRNA from 1 species